UUAUUAUCUUAAAACUAAAAUUCAAGGGGUGAAAACCACCCGGUGCACCACGUCAUCAGUGCAGCGCAAUCCCCACCCCUACCUUCUCCUUCAUCGUCGAAUCGCACCGCCACCACGGCCAAAUUGGAACCCUAACACUAAAAGCUUCGAGCUCGUCGCCCAUGGCGCCUGCGCCCUCGAGCAACGACCCCCUCCACGCCUCGGAAGAGGGAGGAGGAAGAAGCGAGAGUUCUCAAUCCCGAGAAGUAGCUUGGCUCUCCUCCUUGUCUGAAUCUGAGCUUGAUUUUCUUAUAAGCCUAAAAGAGAUGGCUGCUAUGCGGGCAAAGAAUGUAGGCUUUAGUGAUCUUGCUGAAAAAUUUGAUGUGAGAACGCUUCGAGCUCUUGUCCAGUAACUUCUCAGGGAUUGUUUUAUUGGAAAAUUUCAAGGAGCGAGUGAAAAGCACCUCGGCUGAUCCAAAGUUGGUUGAGAUGCUAGCAUUAUUAAGUGGCAGUGGUUUGGCUGCACCCAAUCAGGAGAGUAGUUCUUGCUCUAAGCUUUCUGUCAAUGAUGUUUCAAUGCCAAGUUUUGUUACACCGAGACGAAAGAGGAUGUGGGAUGGAUUACGUGGAGAGAGUGUCCAAGGAAGUUGCAAGAAACAGAAAACAGAGAAGAGCAUAGAAUCACCGUGAUACUUCAUCUAACUACAAUUUUACAUGUUCUAGCCAGUAAAAAUCAUUUUUGCCUCUGGUUUUACCCGUGAUCUCUUUGAUGGGAUGCCGAGUUUCUGUUUCCCUUGUUUUGUUGCUUCUACAUCAUUUAUUUAUUAGUCUGAAACAAACAUGCUUCACGCAUAAUGUAAUUACCAACUAUUUAGUAGUUUUGAGCUAACACCUAACCAUUCAACUAUAUAUGUAAACCUUUCUUUAUCUUUCUGAGUAGAAGUAAAUAUGAAGAGCUUAACAGUCAAGCUGGACAUUUAUUUUAA